ensembl:lncRNA
ACUCAGUGUAUUAAAUAAACAAGGUGGAGCUACCAAAGUAACGAGAGAGAGCCCUUUCCAGGGGACAUGGAAAGCAGAGAGACCUGUAACAUUAAAUACAUACUAUUUAAAGGAAACAGGAAAGUGACUCUACACUUUUGUGUGCUGGACACUCACUAGGAUCACCUGGGGUAUAUUAAACACUGUGAUGUCUGGACCCCACCUCAGAGAUGAUACUUUAACACAUCUGCAGUGCCCAGGCAUUGACAUUUUUAAAAUCUUCCUAGAUAACUUUGAUGUGCACCACCUAAUCAGUGUUCUCCAAUGAGUUUGGAGCUGACAAGCUGAGAAGCCAGUGCUCUAGUAAUGAACAUUCUCCUUACUCCUCCUUGGGAGGAUUAGAUCACAGAGGGAGCUUGAGUUAUCUUAUUUCCCAGCAGGGAUCCUGGGCUGGGCUGAGCCAAUCCCAGUCCCCUCAUGCAGUGUGGGGCAGUUAUUCCUUCCACCAUUAGACUUUUAGGGCUGACAAACAACUUGGGGUUCACGAAGCCUGCUCAAAGUCACAGUCACAGAGUUGCUGCAGUACUCCUGUGAGUUAGCUAUGAUGGUCAACCCCCACUUUCCAGAGGAAGAAACGGAGUAAUGGAGAGAGCAGGUAUACAUCCGAAAAAAUUGAAAACAGAUAUUCAAACAAAAACUUUCACUGAAAAGUUCAUAGCAGCACUACUCAAAAUGAUCAAAAGGAAGCAAUCCAAUGCACAGCUGAUGAACGAAUGAACAAAAUGUGAUAUGGCCAUACCAUGGAAUACCACUCAGCCACAAAAAGGAGCACGAUCCAGACACAUGCUGCAACAUGGAUAAACCUGGGAAAUAUUAUGGGGACAUGGAUUGGAUCCCUAGUCUGAGAUCCCACAUGCAUGCUAUCCAGCGAGGUCAAAAAAGAAAAAUAGAGACACAGCCUCCCUCAGAGGAGGCUCUGAGAAGAGGUGGAACUCAGGCAGUCUCCCCAGAUGACUCUAGUAUGUGGCCCAGGUGAUAUCACCUGGGUGGGCUAAUCCCAUCACACUAGGUAUUCCUCACACAUGGCAACCAAUUAAGGUCAGAGAAGACACAUGUCCUGUGGGCUUUCAAG